UAUUAACAUAUUCACAGAAUAAAAUAUCAUAGUGUUAUUAGCAUAAUUCAUAUACAAAGUGGUUGAAUUAAUUAUCAUCAACUGUGACAUGCUAUUGCAAUUUGCUAGUACUAUUUUAGGAUAAAGAAAUCAUCAUGCUUCGCUUCGCUAAUCUCAAGCCGUUGAUGCUGUAAUGUCAAAGCUCUUUUAAGAACUACAAGAACUGGUGCAAAUUUUUAGGACAUACACAGUUUUUAAGUGACUUCCUCAAGGAUCUGAAGAUAUAAUACAACAGCGGAAGAUAUAAUACAUUCAAAUUUUCUUCAUUUUACCUUUCUGUUAGUCCCAUUCUACCUGAUCAUAUCUAACAUGGGUCAUUUACCUGUUUAUUAUGUUCAGAUGGCUGGAAAUGUGAGCAUCGUCACUGGUGAAAAAAACAUUAAGCCUUCAUCCGGUGGAGAUGAUGAGGCAUUUCUACGGAAGGUCAUUACACCAAUCUUCCUGGAGUACAUAGUUGAAAAAGAAGCAAAAUAAGAAUGCCACUGGCAAGACUGCUCACUCAGAUUGGUCCAACUGUGAUGAAUAUUUCUGAAUGUGAGUCUAUCCAAGCGAGCAUUACCCAGACAUCGACGUUUUGUACCGGUCCUUUAGAUCAUGGAGUCACUGAGUAGUUGUUGCAAUCCGGUCUUUUCUAGCUAUUUGAGGAGUGAUCAAUGCUUUUCUUCUUCAGCAGCAUGUUAGUGUCUACUAUAUGAAGUAAUUGACCUUUUUUGUCUGUAUAUUCCCUGAAUCAAAUUCAUUUACCAUAUUGAUUAGCUUGGGUUAUAAGAAAGCGA